GCAGUCGAGGGGCAGCAUGAUCUUAGCUUGCUAAGGUUGAUGGCGACCGGCGCACGGGUGCGUAACGCGUAUGCAACUUGCCUUACAGAGGGGGAUAACCCGUUGAAAGACGGACUAAAACCGCAUACACUUGUAUUAUUGCAUGAUAUUACAAGGAAAUAUUUAUAGCUGUAAGAUAGGCAUGCGUCCCAUUAGCUUGUUGGUGAGGUAACGGCUCACCAAGGCGACGAUGGGUAGGGGAACUGAGAGGUUUAUCCCCCACACUGGUACUGAGACACGGACCAGACUCCUACGGGAGGCAGCAGUGAGGAAUAUUGGUCAAUGGGCGAGAGCCUGAACCAGCCAAGUCGCGUGAAGGAAGACAGUCCUAAGGAUUGUAAACUUCUUUUAUACGGGAAUAACGGGCGAUACGAGUAUUGCAUUGAAUGUACCGUAAGAAUAAGCAUCGGCUAACUCCGUGCCAGCAGCCGCGGUAAUACGGAGGAUGCGAGCGUUAUCCGGAUUUAUUGGGUUUAAAGGGUGCGUAGGUUGUUCGGUAAGUCAGCGGUGAAACCUGAACGCUCAACGUUCAGCCUGCCGUUGAAACUGCCGGGCUUGAGUUCAGUGGCGGCAGGCGGAAUUCGUGGUGUAGCGGUGAAAUGCAUAGAUAUCACGAGGAACUCCGAUUGCGAAGGCAGCUUGCCAUACUGCGACUGACACU
rnacentral:rRNA from 1 species